rnacentral:rRNA from 1 species
GUGAAAUGAAGGAACGUUGAAGACGACGACGUUGAUAGGCCGGGUGUGUAAGCGCAGCGAUGCGUUGAGCUAACCGGUACUAAUGAACCGUGAGGCUUAACCUUACAACGCCGAAG